AUUGAACGCUGGCGGCAUGCCUUACACAUGCAAGUCGAACGGCAGCAUGAUCUAGCUUGCUAGAUUGAUGGCGAGUGGCGAACGGGUGAGUAAUACAUCGGAACGUGCCCUGUAGUGGGGGAUAACUAGUCGAAAGAUUAGCUAAUACCGCAUACGACCUGAGGGUGAAAGUGGGGGACCGCAAGGCCUCAUGCUAUAGGAGCGGCCGAUGUCUGAUUAGCUAGUUGGUGAGGUAAAGGCUCACCAAGGCGACGAUCAGUAGCUGGUCUGAGAGGACGAUCAGCCACACUGGGACUGAGACACGGCCCAGACUCCUACGGGAGGCAGCAGUGGGGAAUUUUGGACAAUGGGCGAAAGCCUGAUCCAGCAAUGCCGCGUGUGUGAAGAAGGCCUUCGGGUUGUAAAGCACUUUUGUCCGGGAAGAAAUGGCUCUGGUUAAUACCUGGGGUCGAUGACGGUACCGGAAGAAUAAGAACCGGCUAACUACGUG
rnacentral:rRNA from 1 species